UCCCUGGUGGCUCAGAAGAUAAAGAAUCUGCCUGUAAUUCAGGAGACCCAGGUUCAGUCCCUGGUUUGGGAA
rnacentral:tRNA from 1 species